GGGGGAUCUUAGGACCUCUCGCUACAGGGGCGGCCGAUGGCAGAUUAGCUAGUUGGUGGGGUAAAGGCCUACCAAGGCGACGAUCUGUAGCUGGUCUGAGAGGACGACCAGCCACACUGGGACUGAGACACGGCCCAGACUCCUACGGGAGGCAGCAGUGGGGAAUUUUGGACAAUGGGCGCAAGCCUGAUCCAGCAAUGCCGCGUGUGUGAAGAAGGCCUUCGGGUUGUAAAGCACUUUUGUCCGGAAAGAAAACGUCGUGGUUAAUACCCGUGGCGGAUGACGGUACCGGAAGAAUAAGCACCGGCUAACUACGUGCCAGCAGCCGCGGUAAUACGUAGGGUGCAAGCGUUAAUCGGAAUUACUGGGCGUAAAGCGUGCGCAGGCGGUCCGCUAAGACAGAUGUGAAAUCCCCGGGCUUAACCUGGGAACUGCAUUUGUGACUGGC
rnacentral:rRNA from 1 species